rnacentral:rRNA from 1 species
GACGAACGCUGGCGGCGUGCCUAAUACAUGCAAGUCGAGCGGAAGUUGAAGAGCUUGCUCUUCAACUUUAGCGGCGGACGGGUGAGUAACACGUGGGCAACCUGCCCUGCAGAUCGGGAUAACUCCGGGAAACCGGUGCUAAUACCGAAUAGUUUUCGCCACCUCCUGGGGGCGUACGGAAAGACGGUUUCGGCUGUCACCGCAGGAUGGGCCCGCGGCGCAUUAGCUAGUUGGUGGGGUAACGGCCCACCAAGGCGACGGUGCGUAGCCGACGUGGGAGGGUUAUCGGCCACACUGGGACUGAGACACGGCCCAGACUCCGACGGGAGGCAGCAGGAGGGAAUCUUCCGCAAUGGACGAAAGACUGACGGAGCAACGCCGCGUGAGUGACGAAGGUUUUCGGAUCGUAAAACUCUGUUGUGAGGGAAGAACAAAGUUGUUAGUAACUGAACAAGCCUUGACGGUACCUAACCAGAAAGCCACGGCUAACUACGUGCCAGCCGCCGCAGUAA